rnacentral:rRNA from 1 species
AUUGAACGCUGGCGGCAGGCCUAACACAUGCAAGUCGAACGGUAACAGGAAGAAGCUUGCUUCUUUGCUGACGAGUGGCGGACGGGUGAGUAAUGUCGGGGAAACUGCCUGAUGGAGGGGGAUAACUACUGGAAACGGUAGCUAAUACCGCAUAACGUCGCAAGACCAAAAAGGGGGACCUUCGGGCCUCUUGCCAUCGGAUGUGCCCAGAUGGGAUUAGCUAGUAGGUGGGGUAACGGCUCACCUAGGCGACGAUCCCUAGCUGGUCUGAGAGGAUGACCAGCCACACUGGAACUGAGACACGGUCCAGACUCCUACGGGAGGCAGCAGUGGGGAAUAUUGCACAAUGGGCGCAAGCCUGAUGCAGCCAUGCCGCGUGUAUGAAGAAGGCCUUCGGGUUGUAAAGUACUUUCAGCGGGGAGGAAGGGAGUAAAGUUAAUACCUUUGCUCAUUGACGUUACCCGCAGAAGAAGCACCGGCUAACUCCGUG